AUUUACUGCUGGCAUGAUGUUUAAACAAGACAUUUAGGUUCUCUGUGCUUUGGCGUAGUCAUCUGUCAUGGGAAUAAUAUUUACCUUGUGAGAAUUCAAUGAGAUAAGCCACAUAGAGCUCAGUGCCUAGCACAUAAUGAAUACUGAUAAAUGCAUGCUAUUAUUAGCACAGCAGGUUUACAGUUUAUAAACCACACUGACAUCAUUUCCUCCCACGUUUUCCAUGUAACACAUCUAUGAGAUAAGUAGGAUGGAUCGGAUUCUGUUUUAACAGACAAAGAAUCUGAAGCGGUUGAGUCAUCCAAGAUCAGGAAUUGCUCAUUACCCUGGUCUGCCUUCAGCAAGAAUCCUAUUAGCAGAGAACAAAAUACAUCCCAUGGAUCGCAUACUGGCAAUUGGAUGCUGUAGCCCAGGAGUGACACACAUCAUUUCCUCUUCCAACUCACUGGCCAGAACUAGUCACACAACCCUGCCCAACCACAGGACAGCAAGGAAAUGCAAUGGGAUCAUGUGCCUGGAAUGAGAGAAGUGGAACGGCACUAAGGACUACCAAAGUUUAUUAAGUAUUGAAGCUGCUAAAUAAGGCUAUUCAACAGGGGAGGGGAAAUGAGGGGUGGCAAGUAAACAGGUGAAAGAGUUUUGUUGUUGUUGUUAGCAUUUGGAUUUUCUUAAACUUUGAAAGAUUGAAGUAUGACCAUAGAGAUAAGUGUGCAAAUCAUAAAUGUACAGCUCAAUGAAUUAUCAGAAAGUGAACUCAUUUGUAAAAUUACCACCUAGAUCAAGAAAUAAAAUAUUACCAGUUCCCUAGAAACCCACGUUGUGACCCCUCCAAUUUCUACUUCUGUUCUUCCUCCCAAAGUUAUCCUAUAGACUGAAAAUUUAAAAGAAAUACACAUUUUCACACUCAUCAUGAAGGAAGUAGAAAGUAUCAUUCCUUUGGGGUUUCUCUAAACCUUGGGGAGAAUGA
rnacentral:lncRNA from 1 species